rnacentral:rRNA from 1 species
GACGAACGCUGGCGGCGUGCUUAACACAUGCAAGUCGAACGGAAAGGCCCUGCUUUUGUGGGGUGCUCGAGUGGCGAACGGGUGAGUAACACGUGAGUAACCUGCCCUUGACUUUGGGAUAACUUCAGGAAACUGGGGCUAAUACCGGAUAGGAGCUCCUGCUGCAUGGUGGGGGCUGGAAAGUUUCGGCGGUUGGGGAUGGACUCGCGGUGGAUCAGCUAGUUGGUAGGGUAGUAGCAUACCAAGGCGUUGAUGGGUCGCUGGUCUGAGAGGGGGAUCAGUCAGGAUGGGACUGAGACACGGACCAGAAUCGGACGGGAGGGAGCAGUGGGGAACAUUGUAGAAUGGGGGAUAGCCUGAUCAAGCAAUGCGGGGUGAGUGAUGAAGGCCUUAGGGUUGUAAAGCUCUCUUACGCGGGAUGAUAAUGACAGUACCGGGAGAAUAAGCUCCGGCUAACUCCGUG